UCGGCGAAUCCUUGCUGGAGUCAUAAUGAGUGUCAUAAGUUCACAACAGGAAGAGGCACGAGAGGUUGGAAAAGCUCAUGGUUUUGUAGCUGUCCACAAACUAAUAAAGGAAAUAUCAUAGGGAUUAGAGGACAUUCUAAAUGAAUAAGGAUAAGAGAUCAGCCCAACACGUGAUACAUUUCUGUAAUACCGAAGAUGUUACCUAUCCAUUUGAACACAGGAAACAAAGGUGAUUCCUUGUACUGCGUCUGAUCCAGUGACAGAUCUGAAGACCACAGCAGGUGUCUGUGAUAAAACUACAAAAGAAGAACUUACCACCUAACGAGAAAGAGCGCUAAUUUAAUUUCAUGCAAGAGUCUCACCGGUGAUAUUAAAAAGUGUGGCCUCGGGCACCAGCGAAGAACCAGCGAUACGACACCAAGCUGCUGAGCUUCUAAAGCGAAUCUGGACGUGAGCUCUGCGUUAAGGAGCUCAUACAUCAGCGCGAGGAGCCGCGGCCUCCUGUGUGCGAUUCAUCAGAAUGGAAGUCUGUGGGAUUUGUUGUCCGAACCUGUCGAUGAGGUCAUUCCUUUACGGCUGCCGUCACCUGCUGCGUCGUGACCUCCUGACCUCCAUCACAGCCAAAGCAGAUUCAACCCUUUAUCACAGAGAGGAAAUCCAUUAAGCCCGAGACAAUGUCCUUGACCGUCCUACAUAGAGGACUGGAGCAGCACAACAUCCCUUGAUUAAACUCACUGUGACAAACCAACCUGUGGACCACUAGAUUAUCAUACUACUUGUCAUGCAGUGUAUAGUAUGCACACUGCACAUAGUAUGCAAAUGACUGGAUGACUAAAAUGUGCAGUACAACAGACAAAACAGUUUAUGUGCAUGUGUAAAUAUGUUGGCAGUUCAAUAUAUAUGUGUGUGUGUGUGAAUAUUUCAUGCUAGUAGUAUUCAAUUCCACAAACAUCUUGAUUAAUUUCUAGUGUGCAGCACACAGUAUCACCACUAGGUGGUGUCAUUGACCAUCUUAUUGAAUAAGACGCUGUUAGUGGGAUUUUACAGCAUUUAAUUACACUUAAAACUAUGGGACACUCUCUUAAACACACGUAAAGAGAUCUGUAAGUGUGAAAAUGUGAUUUUAUUUAUUUUUUAAUUUCGGGUCUUAUCUGAAUCAGAUAUCUGAGGCUAUAUAGGCUAAAACACACA